GCACACCUGGCUCAAUGGUAGAGCGUUUGUCUCAAAUACCAAUGGUCGCGGGUUCGAAUCCCAGGUGUUCA
rnacentral:tRNA from 1 species